AGAGUUUGAUCCUGGCUCAGGAUGAACGCUGGCGGCGUGCCUAAUACAUGCAAGUCGAGCGAACGGACGAGAAGCUUGCUUCUCUGAUGUUAGCGGCGGACGGGUGAGUAACACGUGGAUAACCUACCUAUAAGACUGGGAUAACUUCGGGAAACCGGAGCUAAUACCGGAUAAUAUUUUGAACCGCAUGGUUCAAAAGUGAAAGACGGUCUUGCUGUCACUUAUAGAUGGAUCCGCGCUGCAUUAGCUAGUUGGUAAGGUAACGGCUUACCAAGGCAACGAUGCAUAGCCGACCUGAGAGGGUGAUCGGCCACACUGGAACUGAGACACGGUCCAGACUCCUACGGGAGGCAGCAGUAGGGAAUCUUCCGCAAUGGGCGAAAGCCUGACGGAGCAACGCCGCGUGAGUGAUGAAGGUCUUCGGAUCGUAAAACUCUGUUAUUAGGGAAGAACAUAUGUGUAAGUAACUAUGCACAUCUUGACGGUACCUAAUCAGAAAGCCACGGCUAACUACGUGCCAGCAGCCGCGGUAAUACGUAGGUGGCAAGCGUUAUCCGGAAUUAUUGGGCGUAAAGCGCGCGUAGGCGGUUUUUUAAGUCUGAUGUGAAAGCCCACGGCUCAACCGUGGAGGGUCAUUGGAAACUGGAAAACUUGAGUGCAGAAGAGGAAAGUGGAAUUCCAUGUGUAGCGGUGAAAUGCGCAGAGAUAUGGAGGAACACCAGUGGCGAAGGCGACUUUCUGGUCUGUAACUGACGCUGAUGUGCGAAAGCGUGGGGAUCAAACAGGAUUAGAUACCCUGGUAGUCCACGCCGUAAACGAUGAGUGCUAAGUGUUAGGGGGUUUCCGCCCCUUAGUGCUGCAGCUAACGCAUUAAGCACUCCGCCUGGGGAGUACGACCGCAAGGUUGAAACUCAAAGGAAUUGACGGGGACCCGCACAAGCGGUGGAGCAUGUGGUUUAAUUCGAAGCAACGCGAAGAACCUUACCAAAUCUUGACAUCCUUUGACAACUCUAGAGAUAGAGCCUUCCCCUUCGGGGGACAAAGUGACAGGUGGUGCAUGGUUGUCGUCAGCUCGUGUCGUGAGAUGUUGGGUUAAGUCCCGCAACGAGCGCAACCCUUAAGCUUAGUUGCCAUCAUUAAGUUGGGCACUCUAAGUUGACUGCCGGUGACAAACCGGAGGAAGGUGGGGAUGACGUCAAAUCAUCAUGCCCCUUAUGAUUUGGGCUACACACGUGCUACAAUGGACAAUACAAAGGGCAGCGAAACCGCGAGGUCAAGCAAAUCCCAUAAAGUUGUUCUCAGUUCGGAUUGUAGUCUGCAACUCGACUACAUGAAGCUGGAAUCGCUAGUAAUCGUAGAUCAGCAUGCUACGGUGAAUACGUUCCCGGGUCUUGUACACACCGCCCGUCACACCACGAGAGUUUGUAACACCCGAAGCCGGUGGAGUAACCUUUUAGGAGCUAGCCGUCGAAGGUGGGACAAAUGAUUGGGGUGAAGUCGUAACAAGGUAGCCGUAUCGGAAGGUGCGGCUGGAUCACCU
rnacentral:rRNA from 1 species